rnacentral:lncRNA from 1 species
AAAUUGGGUUUCUGCAUACCCGCGCAGCUUUAGCACCAAAGGUGAUUUAAGCCUGCCCACACAGUAGGGCACGACAGACCGAUUUAAUGGGUCUUGUAGCCUCUUUACCCUACCGCAGUCACGUGAGUAUGUACCCUUUGCGGGGUUGGGGUGCGUCACUGUCGACUGCCAAAGUAAUCACAACUGCGAGCCACAUCCGGCCAUAACCACAGUGAAGACGGGCAGUAUUAGAGCUCUUCUCACAAGAGACUUCUGGCCACAUCCAGCCUAAGCACAGCGAGUGUCCAAAAUUGUUGGCCACAUCCGGCCUCGUAAGCAGCUUGUGUGGGAUGUUACUGGCCCCUCCAGCCUAUAGCUGUCGGCUGUCGGUCUUUACCGGCUCCAAGCAGGGGAGAAAAAUAUCGGAACCGUUAGUAACCUUAAGCAAUUGAUGCGCGAGGUCCAAAAAACUGCCCGGNCCAUGCGGCAGCAUGAGCCGUCUAUGCGCGAAGUCCCAAAACUGCCUGGCCCAAACGGCCACAUAACAGGCGAUGCGCAAUUCCACGAAAACUGCCUGGCCCAAACGGCCACAUAACAGGCGAUGCGCAUUCCACGAAAACUGCCUGGCCCAAACGGCCUCAUAAGCAGUUGAUGCGCGAGGUCCACGAAACUGCCGGCCCGAACGGCCUCAUAAGCAGUUGAUGCGCGAGGUCCACGAAACUGCCGGCCCGAACGGCCUCAUAAGCAGUUGAUGCGCGAGGUCCACAAAACUGCCGGCCCGAACAGCCUCAUAAGCAGUUGAUGCGCGAGGUCCACGAAACUGCCGGCCCGAACGGCCUCAUAAGCAGUUGAUGCGCGAGGUCCACGAAACUGCCGGCCCGAACGGCCUCAUAAGCAGUUGAUGCGCGAGGUCCACGAAACUGCCGGCCCAUACGGCCUCACAAGCAGUUGAUGCGCGAGGUCCACGAAACUGCCGGCCCGAACGGCCUCAUAAGCAGUUGAUGCGCGAGGUCCACGAAACUGCCGGCCCGAACGGCCUCAUAAGCAGUUGAUGCGCGAGGUCCACGAAACUGCCGGCCCAUACGGCCUCACAAGCAGUUGAUGCGCGAGGUCCACGAAACUGCCGGCCCGAACGGCCACAUAAACAGGCGAUGCGCAAUUCCACGAAAACUGCCGGCCCAUACGUCCUCACAAGCAGUCGAUGCGCGAGGUCCACGAAACUGCCGGCCCGAACGGCCACAUAAACAGGCGAUGCGCGAUAUCCAAAAACUGUCGGCCACAUCUGCCUGCGCAGGCAGUCCAAGCGCGGUAGUACUAGCUAGAUAUAACCUUGGGGAAAGCGCUCUCGGCUUCGUGACUUGUGGUAGUUAAGCCCGGUGUCCGGUAGUUGCUGUGGCGCAUCACACCGCCAGUGCCUGAAGGGGGCCGGUGGACAGAGCCAGGGUAGGUUGCAUGCCUGCUGCAGGAGCCUGUCGCGUUAGCCCAGCCGUUGAGACCCACGCUGCCUGCUGGCCGCAUGAGCCCAGUGUGAAUGGUGGUGGUUCGUCCGUGGGCGUCCUCGAACAUGCGAUCCCCCGUUGCCCAGCGUCCUGGCAGGUUGUAAACCUUGCCCCGGAAAUGUGGCGAAUACGACAAAGGAUCUGUACAACAUUAUUUGUAACUGGGUGUGACAGCCGGAGAAUUCAGUAGUUGUGUAACAGUAUGUGUGAAAGACGCUCGAAUAAACGACACCGAAGUGGUACGCAUUAGAAUUCACAACUCAAGAUAACAACAUUUCAUAACGGAUUUGAACUCCUAAUGUAUGGUGGCGUUCCUAGCGGCAAUGGAAGCUAAAUAGCGGAGGUUGGUUAACCACGUGACAGCUUUCAGCAACGCCUGACCUUCUUCGGACGCAUCAUCCGCCAUUGCUGUUCAAAUUAAGUUAAUGCGCUCAAUAGCGACGCGCACAACCUUCACCAAGGCCCAGGAUCCGCGUAAUUGCGGGUGGCUGGCUAAGGGCCGGCGGCUCCGCACAUUGUAAAAGAUUAUCGCUUCGGGCUGAGCUAACAUCAGCUGGGUUAGCUCCUCGUGCUCCUUCAGCCUCCGGUCGAAGUAAGCUGUGAGUGCUGGCGAAAUAACUCGCGCUCCUCAGCUAGCUGCUGUUCGAAGAGGGCCCGCAUUUCGGGAGUGAGCACUAAUCUUUCUGCGCCCGCAGCGCCAAUUUCCAUAGCCGACAUUCGAUUCUAGUAUUGCUAAGAAAAGACGGUGCAACACAUAACUAGAGGACACUGUCCCAGCAGCGGGACACACCUCUUGGUAAUAGUCAAAACAACGGCAGUUAAAGAACCAAUGCGCCUGUGGGACCCAAGUAGGAGCUCGGCGUCCCUUGCCGUACUGCGGUCCGGCACAUGCAUGCAUGCAUGCGCCCGACUUCCACGCACCACGGCAGUUCCUUCGCAAUAACUUGCCU